rnacentral:rRNA from 1 species
AUGAAGGCUGACGACGGCAAGAGGAGGGUGACAACUCCUCUGGCGGAGCACAAAGAGGCGCCCAAGAUGACCUCGGCGGAGCGCCAACAGCUAGCCUUCAGCCUGGUGGCGGUAGCGGCAGAACUGUCCGAUCCCGCCGUCGAGCUCUUGCCGAAGCAGAGCAAUGGCGGCCGACGCAAGAUCGAGGUAAACGUGUGCGCCAUGGAAGACGCGGCCCUGUUCGAGCUAAAGAUGCACGUGGACAAGUUCGUCAAAACGAGGGAUCCGUCGCUGCCGCCGCAAGAUGACAGCAAGAUCGUUGAGAAUGAAGACGCGGCCCUGUUCGAGCUAAAGAUGCACGUGGACAAGUUCGUCAAAACGAGGGAUCCGUCGCUGCCGCCGCAAGAUGACAGCAAGAUCGUUGAGAAUGAAGACGAAAAUGGCAGGCGCGUCGAUAUCUGCCCCGGCGUGUCUCCCGUGGUGACCGCCCCGUCGCCACUCCAACUUGAAAUUCUUGAAUACGCGGCCGUCUUCAAUGCAACCGGACUAGUCGACAAGAUGCUGUCUCCGCUGCCGCAGAAAUACUUGGCGCUCGCUGAAAAGAGGGAGAAGGAGUGCCUCGCCGAAAAGGAGGAUAAUGAGGAGUAUGUCGACAUCUGCGGCGACGCCUCGCCGGUGGUGAUCCAAAAUCUUGCUGGUGUAAUCAGCCGCAUCCCAAGCAUUAUCUUAAGCAGCGAUUCUGAUUCUGAUUCAGACCCAGACAUCGGGUCCGACAGUGAUUCCAGUGACUCUGGUUCGGGCUCAGCGUCAGACAACCACUCCGACGGCCCUCCAGCUCCGCCAGUUCUUCCUGAGGUUAGCAGCCCAGCUCCAGCAGUUUCUUCCAAAGUGAUUGACGAUUCUGCACCACCAUCGGAGCCAACACUGGAGGUGGUACACAAUGGAGAACUGAAGAAGCUUGACAUUCCAGGUCCGGCAUUUCUUCCCAAGGUGAAUGGUCAUUCUGCUGGCCGGCCAUCGGAGCCGGCACCGGUGAUACAGAAUGCAGAACCAGAGAACGUUAGCAUUCUAGCUCCAUCAGCUCUAUGCAUUGGAGGCCAUCGGAGUCGACGAUUCUGCUGCCCAACCAUCGGAGCCGGCAUUGGAGGUGGUACCUUUACAGAAUGA